rnacentral:rRNA from 1 species
UUUGCCCUACGGGCGCAGCAGUAGGGAAUAUUGCUCAAUGGGGGAAACCCUGAGGCAGCAACGCCGCGUGGAGGAUGAAGGUUUUCGGAUUGUAAACUCCUCUUGUUAGAGAAGAUAAUGACGGUAUCUAACGAAUAAGCACCGGCUAACUCCGUGCCAGCAGCCGCGGUAAUACGGAGGGUGCAAGCGUUACUCGGAAUCACUGGGCGUAAAGAGCGCGUAGGCGGGAUAGCAAGUCAGAUGUGAAAUCCUAUGGCUUAACCAUAGAACUGCAUUUGAAACUGUUAUUCUAGAGUAUGGGAGAG